GACGAACGCUGGCGGCGUGCUUAACACAUGCAAGUCGAACGGUAAGGCUCCAGCUUGCUGGGGUACACGAGUGGCGAACGGGGGAGUAACACGUGGGUGACCUGCCCUGCACUUCGGGAUAAGCCUGGGAAACUGGGCCUAAUACCGGAUAGGACCAUGGUGUGGAUACUGUGGUGGAAAGUUUUUUCGGUUUGGGAUGGGCCGGCGGCCUAUCCGCUUGUUGGUGGGGUAAUGGCCCACCAAGGCGGCGGUGGGGAGCCGGUGUGAGAGUGUGGACAGCCACACUGGAACGGGGACGCGGGCCAGACGACUACGGGAGGCAGCGGUGGGGAAUAUGGGACAAUGGGCGGAAGCGGGAUCCAGGCAUGCGGCGUUGGUGAAGAAGGCCUUCGGGGUGUAAAGCCCUGUUGUUGGGAAAGAAAAGCAGCAGGCUAAUACCCCGCUGGUCUGACGGUACCCAAAGAAUAAGCACCGGCUAACUUCGUG
rnacentral:rRNA from 1 species